UACCCAUUAUCUAUUUCCAACAAAGUCAUAGCCAAACUUGUUUCAUCAUUUACUUCUCUGAGUUCCCACAUCCAGAUCAUUCUGAGGUAUAGUCCAAGCAAUCACUUCAUCUGUAAAUAUUUUGAUUCAAGAAAAAGUAAUCUGCCCAGUAGGAGUUUGUAGAAGCCAUCAGUAAAAAUGAAUGCUAUCUGCAAAUGAUAUCUAUACUUUGGAUUUGGUAAUUAGUAGACCAGGUGGUUAUUAAUGUUUCCUCAUCUUCUCAAAAGGUAGGAAAAGGUAAAGAAACCUGAAAUGAUUUUGAGCAGACAGUGACCAAUCUGAGAACUGUGAAUGGCAGAGCAGACUGAGUGUGGGAAACACUGGGGCCACUUUACAACACUGUGAGAGGCCUAGCAGGCUCAGCUUUGAAGGUGGGACUCUUUCAAGGCUCUCUAUAGGUAAAAUUUCCUAGAAUAGUCCUGGUGAGUGGUGAUUUCAUUGCUUUAAUGAUCAAUAAUUUAGGAUCACAAAUAUUUUCUCUGGUUUGCUGCCUGUCUAAAAGCAUCUGGCCGUGUGAAAUAACUGUGGAAUAAAUAAGACAUUAAGCAUUUAGAAUAUGCUAACAUUUAGUGACAGUUUGUGGUAAUGUUUGAGGAAAAGCAAACAAGAGUAUUCUUCUCUUCUUCCUAUUUAAAACAAUUUCUUGAAAGGAAUAGGAUUUCCUUGUAGUGAGGAGGGGUGACCACUUGUGACACUUUUGAAGAGCCAAGGUAUUUAUUUGCUCCCUCCAUUUCUAGUCCACAUGAGCCCUGCUCCACUUUAGAGUCAGACUGUCCUCCAUUCCACUCCAACCCCUCCUGAAGAUUUCUAAUAAAACUGUCUUUCCCCUUUCCUCAUUCUUCCUAAACCUCUUAAAACAUUUCAAACCAAUUU